GAUAAACGCUGACAGAAUGCUUAACACAUGCAAGUCGAUGAUGGGAAGCUAAGCCUAGCUUAGAAGAAGUCAUGGCGGACGGGUGAGUAACGUGUAAAGAACUUGCCCUCUAGACUGGGAUGACAGUUAGAAAUGACUGCUAAUACCGCAUAAGCGCACAGCUUCGCAUGAAGCGGUGUGAAAAACUCCGGUGGUGUGAGAUGGACCCGCGUCUGAUUAGCUAGUUGGUAGGGUAACGGCCUACCAAGGCGACGAUCAGUAGCCGGCCUGAGAGGGUGACCGGCCACAUUGGGACUGAGACACGGCCCAA
rnacentral:rRNA from 1 species